UACGGAGGGUGCAAGCGUUAUCCGGAUUCACUGGGUUUAAAGGGUGCGUAGGAGGGCAGGUAAGUCAGUGGUGAAAUCUCCAAGCUUAACUUGGAAACUGCCGUUGAUACUAUCUGUCUUGAAUAUUGUGGAGGUGAGCGGAAUAUGUCAUGUAGCGGUGAAAUGCUUAGAUAUGACAUAGAACACCAAUUGCGAAGGCAGCUCACUACACAAUCAUUGACUCUGAGGCACGAAAGCGUGGGGAUCAAGCAGG
rnacentral:rRNA from 1 species